rnacentral:sRNA from 2 species
AUAUCUCUCUGUACGGGAAGGAUGAGAAGCUUCGACUAAGGUUCGAUUCGAGCGCAGCGAGAAAGCGUUGCCGCAGGCAACGACCCGAAGGGCGAAGCGCGCAGCGCUGAGUAAUCCUU